rnacentral:lncRNA from 1 species
GAUUGCUAUAAGCCAUAUAGCAGAAUUGCUACAAAUCUCUUAUUAUAAAAUGAAGCCUCCUAUAGAGGAAAUCUGCAAAAUCAUAUAUAUCCUUUUAUAAAAAGUGAGUCAGAAAUGGAAUUAUUUGUCUUGUUUUAUUCUCUUUGUUCUUAUUCCCUCUUUGCUAUCUUCUGCUUAUUAUUAUUUACCGUUUUUGGUAUUUAAUACAAAGAAAAGGACUGUUAGUUUCAAGCUCCAAAGUUUUUUGCUAAUGCACUGACUGAAAGGGAACAGCCUGGGCAAUUGAGCUUGUCUGUCAAGUUGGUCAAGGUGGAGAGUAAUGUGGUCUGGGGUUCCCAGAGCCCAUUGGACCUUUGACCUUUUCUAUUGAGACUAUUGAUCUAGGUUAAUAGUCAGCACCAGUUGUGCUGUUGGAGGGGUUGUGUGCCUGUAUGUGAUUCCUCAUUGAGUACAAAUGAGGCUCUGACUAACUCAGAGGGUAAUUGGUCCUUUUUGUAGUUUUCCCAGAUCAGGGUGGGAAAUUAGAAUAGAUAGGCUUUGACAGGCAAGGUGAAGAUUCAUUUUUGGAAUGCCUGCCAUUGUAUCAGUGACAAAACAAUGGAUCUGCACACUGAGUGGAUUACAUCUUUCAUACCAUGAACUCUGUUCACCAGAGAGCUGCUCACAGAAUCAAGUGGGGUUAGGAAUUGCUGGAUAAUAUGAUAACUUCUGAGAUUAACAGCACAGAGAGAUGGGUUUAGUCUUUUCCCACUCCCCAACCCCACCCCCUAAACCCACGCUACCCCAGCUAUCCUAUCAUCCCAUGCGUCUCAUCCCACCUAAUUGGGCAUAAAAUGAGAUAAACAAAGUCUGUCAUUGUUGGAAGCAGUGAUGAUUGAAAGGCAGGGAAGCACAUGGUUGGCAUGGGAUGGAGUUGGAAGGCAGAGCAAGUUGGCUGUGUAGAAAGAAUAAAGAAAAGAAGAUAAUAAGGUAUAUAAGCCUCAUUUUGUCAAGUCAGGAACAAGAGACGGUGACAGUAAAAAGCACCAGUGGCUUCACCUGGAAUAAUUUUAACUCCAUCAAUGCUUCCUACAAUCAAAUAAUUAAAUCAGCCAACUCUCUGGAGAAAUAGUGAAAACAAACUGUUCUGUUCUUAUUCUUAAUUAAACAUUUUCAUCUUAUAAAUUGGAUACAAUUGAAG